GUCCUUGCUGUAACAAUGUAUACUUGAUGUAAUUAGGCUCAACCCUAAUUGUGUCGUAGCUAACGCGAUAAGUAUACCGCCUGGGAGUACGCUCGCAAGGGUGAAACUCAAAGAAUUGACGGGGACCCGCACAAGCAGUGGAGUAUGUGGUUUAAUUCGAUGCAACGCGAAGAACCUUACCUGGGUUUGACAUGCAAAUGACCGCCUGAGAGAUUAGGCUUUCCCGCAAGGGACAUUUGCACAGGUGCUGCAUGGCUGUCGU
rnacentral:rRNA from 1 species